GACGAACGCUGGCGGCGUGCCUAAUACAUGCAAGUAGAACGCUGAAGGAGGAGCUUGCUUCUCUGGAUGAGUUGCGAACGGGUGAGUAACGCGUAGGUAACCUGCCUGGUAGCGGGGGAUAACUAUUGGAAACGAUAGCUAAUACCGCAUAAGAUUGACUAUUGCAUGAUAGUCAGUUAAAAGGUGCAAUUGCAUCACUACCAGAUGGACCUGCGUUGUAUUAGCUAGUUGGUGGGGUAACGGCUCACCAAGGCGACGAUACAUAGCCGACCUGAGAGGGGGGUCGGCCACACUGGGACUGAGACACGGCCCAGAAUCCUACGGGAGGCAGCAGUAGUGAAUCUUCGGCAAUGGACGGAAGUCUGACCGAGCCAAGCCGCGUGAGUGAAGAAGGUUUUCGGAUCGUAAAGCUCUGUUGUAAGAGAAGAACGAGUGUGAGAGUGGAAAGUUCACACUGUGACGGUAUCUUACCAGAAAGGGACGGCUAACUACGUG
rnacentral:rRNA from 1 species